rnacentral:rRNA from 1 species
GAUCAUGGCUCAGGAUGAACGCUGGCGGUGUGCUUAACACAUGCAAGUCGAGCGAAGCACUUUGGAAAGAUUCUUCGGAUGAUUUCCUUUGUGACUGAGCGGCGGACGGGUGAGGUAACGCGUGGGUAACCUGCCUCAUACAGGGGGAUAACAGUUAGAAAUGACUGCUAAUACCGCAUAAGACCACGGUACCGCAUGGUACAGUGGUAAAAACUCCGGUGGUAUGAGAUGGACCCGCGU